rnacentral:rRNA from 1 species
GACGAACGCUGGCGGCGUGCUUAACACAUGCAAGUCGAACGGUGAAGCGCCUUCCUUUUUGGUGGGUGUGGAUGAGUGGCGAACGGGUGAGUAACACGUGAGUAACCUGCCCCCUUCUUCUGGAUAACCGCAUGAAAGUGUGGCUAAUACGGGAUAUUCUGGGUCUGUCGCAUGAUGGGUCUGGGAAAGAUAUUGUUUCGGUGGGGGAUGGGCUCGCGGCCUAUCAGCUUGUUGGUGGGGUGAUGGCCUACCAAGGCGGUGACGGGUAGCCGGCCUGAGAGGGUGGACGGUCACACUGGGACUGAGACACGGCCCAGACUCCUACGGGAGGCAGCAGUGGGGAAUAGUGCACAAUGGGCGCAAGCCUGAUGCAGCGACGCCGCGUGAGGGAUGGAGGCCUGCGGGUUGUGAACCUCUUUCGCCAGUGAAGUAGGCCUGCCUCGUGUGUGGGUGGGUUGACGGUAGCUGGAUAAGAAGCGCCGGCUAACUACGUG